UACAGAGGGUGCAAGCGUUAAUCGGAAUUAUUGGGCGUAAAGGGUGCGUAGGUGGUUUGAUAAGUUAGGUGUGAAAUUCCUGGGCUUAACCUGGGAACUGCGCCUAAUACUGUUAAGCUAGAGUACUGUAGAGGAAGGUGGAAUUUCCGGUGUAGCUGUGAAAUGCGUAGAUAUCGGAAGGAACAUCAGUGGCGAAGGCGACUUUCUGGACAGAUACUGACACUGAGGCACGAAAGCGUGGGGAGCAAACAGG
rnacentral:rRNA from 1 species